rnacentral:rRNA from 1 species
UACUCUCGUGGUGAAUCAUCGAAUCUUUGAACGCAAUUUGCACGUGAUGGCUCAUGUCAUCAGGUAUACUUGUUUGAGUAUCCACCAAUUCUCUCCAAUCAACAAAGUGUUUAUUUACUUUGUUUGUUGUGCGGACAUGAGACUCGAUAACGUCAACAUGAUGAUGAUGACGCAAUCGUUUCUUGAAAUCUAGAGACACACUCUUUACUGGCAAGUGCUUCGCACUUGAAUAGGAAGAAACAUUUGUGAUUGACCUUUUUCCAUUCACUCUAUUGGGAUAACAUCCUAACAAUAGACAAAGAAAAGGACAAGAAUGAUGGUGUGUGUCACCUUGAUGAACACAGGGAAUAAUAAAUUAUAUUAUUCUGGGUGAACAUCACGAUGAUGAAAGAUUUAUUCAUUUAUAUUCUCUCAUCAUCUUAUCAUGGAUCUCAAAUCAAGUAAGGAGACCCGCUGAACUUAAGCAUAUCAAUAAGCGGAGG